UUGAUAAUGAUAGAGACUGAAGCUCUCUAUCCACAGAACAAGUUUAGCCUGGAGAGCAACGUGUCCCAACGUGCCUCAGAUCUGAGCUGGAGGGUCAACCCCCUGGAGUGAGAGGAUAGUUUAGUCUUCAUGCCCAUUCAGUCCUGAGCAUCU
rnacentral:sRNA from 1 species